rnacentral:lncRNA from 1 species
UAGAAUCCCGUGGAGGUAACACGGGCUGAUUCGUCUUGGCCCCGGAGGCCUAGUUCCAUCCAAGAACUUCUUCCCCACGAAAUGAAGCAUCUGGAGAACAGCAUGUUGAUUCCAACCCAAGAAGCCGCGAGUGAAAACUACCCCUAAGGAACCUGGCUUCAGCAGAGCUGUCCUUGGCUGUACAUUGGAAUAUCUUGAUGUAGAGAAGCAGUGUUCCCAAGGCAAGUUCUUCCUCAUUUCCUAGCUGUUUGUGUUAAUAGCCUUUGGUAUUUACCCC